UAUUCCUCGACUUCCGAACCUUAAACUAGAAGGACGCAUAUUGAAUGACGAUUAUCUUAUUGAAUUGGGAGGCGAUGGUUUAUCCUGACCCGUAUCGUUUGAAAAUGUGCCAAGAAAAGUUCUAGUGUAUGCUAAGGAACCCGUACCGUAAACCGACACAGGUGGGUGGGUAGAAUAUACUAAGGCGCAAGAGUGAAACCCUGUUAAGGAACUCGGCAAUCUAGCCCCGUAACUUCGGGAGAAGGGGUCCCGGGACUCGUCCCGGGCGCAGUGAAAGGGCCCAUCCGACUGUUUAGCAAAAACACAGCAUUCUGCGAACACGCAAGUGGAAGUAUAGGAUGUGACACGUGACCAAUGCCAAAAGAUUAAGGGGAGGUGUUAGCCUUCGGGCGAAGCUCUGAUCCUAAGUCCUGGUGAAUGUCGGCCGUAACUAUAACGGUCCUAAGGUAGCGAAAUUCCUUGUCGGGUAAGUUCCGACCUGCACGAAUCGUGUAACGACCGGAUCGCUGUCUCGGAGUGGUUCUCGGCGAAAUUGUAGUGGCGGUGAAGAUGCCGCCUACCCGCGGUAGGACGGAAAGACCCUAUGCACCUUUACUAUAAGCUGGUAUUGGGUUCUGAUUCUUAAUGCGUAGCAUAGGUGGGAGACUUUGAAACGAUGGCUUCGGUUGUCGUGGAGUCGUCAGUGAAAUACCACUCUUUAUUAAUUAGGAUUCUAACCCCGAUCCUGUGAAGCCAGGCGGGGAACAGUGCCUGCGGGUUAGUUUGACUGGGGCGGUUUCCUCCCAAAGAGUAACGGAGGAGCGCGAAGGUACUCUCAGCACGGUUGGCAAUCGUGCGUCGAGCGCAUGGGUAGAAGAGUGCUUAACUGUGAGACACACACGUCGAGCAGAUGCGAAAGCAGGCCCAAGUGAUCCGAUAGUUUAAUGUGGAAUUGCUAUCGCUCAACGGACAAAAGGUACGCUAGGGAUAACAGGCUGAUCGCGCCCAAGAGUUCAUAUCGACGGCGCGGUUUGGCACCUCGAUGUCGGCUCGUCGCAUCCUGGGGCUGGAGAAGGUCCCAAGGGUCCGGCUGUUCGCCGGUUAAAGCGGCACGCGAGCUGGGUUCAGAACGUCGUGAGACAGUUCGGUCCUUAUCCACCGUGGGCGUAGGAAACUUGAGGGGUUCAUUCCUUAGUACGAGAGGACCGGGAAUGACGCACUUCUGGUGUGGCAGUUGUUCCGUCAGGGGCAGCGCUGCGUAGCCAUGUGCGGACGAGAUAAGCGCUGAAAGCAUCUAAGUGCCAAGCUCUUCCCAAGAUAAGGUUUCCCUGAAGACCCCAGGUAGACUACCUGGUUGAUAGGUCAGGCGUGUAAGUGUGGUAACAUAUUUAGCGGACUGAUACUAAUUGGUCGUUCGGCUUGAUCGC
rnacentral:rRNA from 1 species